CAAGGAGAUCUGAUUCUGGCCUGGAUUCAGCUACCACUUCUCUGGGUGGCAAGGGAUAUAAAAUAUGUUUUUGGAUUAGAAUCAAGACAGAGACAUGAUGGAGUAGAUUGCAAAUGUCACAUGAACUUUAAAGGCUGGGAAGGAGGAUAAUCUGUGCUGCCCAGAGCAGCAGGCUCUGAGGGAUGCUGCGUUCUAAAAGAUGCUGACAGGUGCUUCCCAAA